GCCGGGCAUGGUGGCGCAUGCCUGUAGUCCCAGCUACUCAGGAGGCUGAGGCAGGAGGAUUGCUUGAGCUCAGGAGUUCAAGGCUGCAGUGAGCUAUGAUUGCACCACUGUACUCUAGCCCGGGUGACAGAGCAAGACCCUGGCUCAU
rnacentral:SRP_RNA from 1 species